GUCAGCGAGGCAGUUGUGAUUGGACAGGGGAUCCAGCGCUGGAUCAGCUGUCUAAUCACUCAUAAGCGGCAAAGCGGCGGAGGGAUCCGGCGGAUGGCGUGAAUCACCUGGUGGAGGGAGUCUGACAGGCAGCAACUGCAGCGUUGUCCCCGGAGGCGGCAGGAAGACCAGCACAGGGCACGUCUGCCCAGGACCACCCAGGCAGACCACAACUCCUUUCCCCGGCAGCAGUUCAAACCAUUCAGUGAAUAUUGCGCACCCUGAAACCCUAUGGCAACCGGGACGUCGACGGGGAGGAGCGUCUGGGAGAGAGGUGCAGGUUGAUGACGUCAUCCGUCCCCCGCCGGCGUGGACGAGCCUGGGAUACGGUGCACGGGUGAUGGUGAAGGGUAUAAAGAUGGUCCCUAUGGCAACCGGGACGUCGACGGGGAGGAGCGUCUGGGAGAGAGGUGCAGGUUGAUGACGUCAUCCGUCCCCCGCCGGCGUGGACGAGCCUGGGAUACGGUGCACGGGUGAUGGUGAAGGGUAUAAAGACAGCUUCCCGCCUGAUCUGUCAGCCUCUUCCAUCCUGAUUAUCUGGAGACGCCAAUUUCAAAGAGACAUCUUAAUAGUGAUGUCAACAAAUUAAUUAGAUGUGUUAAUGAGCUAAAAGCAACUCAAAUUAAAUUAAUGCAGUAAUAAGCACAGACAGCAAAAUUAGCUCCAAUUUCUGUAAAUGACUCUGAACUGUACACAACAUAUCAUCCUGCUAGUACAUUACCAUCCCCCAAAGCUAAUCAAGAACUCCAGUGCAAUUAACUGCUUAAUUACAAAACACACACACAGCCUGGAGUUCCACAGGCAGAUGAGAGGCUGUGUUCUACCUGGGAAAGAGAGAUAUCGCAGUCAAAAUUAAACAAUGUUCUAACAUUCCCCUGUCUCCACAGAACAGCGGGGUACAUGCCGGUGAGGCGCAGAGCUGAGGCAGGUUCUACAAAGCAGUUAUAUAGAAUAUGGAAGAAAUUAUUUUAGAAAAAUAUAAUUGCUCUGUUGCUGCGGUAUACAGUAUCAGUUAAAAUUGCUGCCUCAGCGCGCUAGAGCCAUGGGUUUUUAAUCUAACCAGGGCCCUAUCUGCGUGGCGUUUGUGGCCCUUAUUUUGAGUUACGUGCAAUUUGCAUCUAAGUUCAUACGUAAAAUGUGCCUGUGGAAAAAUAUGAAAUUUGGGACAAAUGUAAAGUUUUGAGAGGUGACAGAAGGUUUAUCUGCACUGUGAUGGGCAAAAGCACAGUACACAAUUCGCAUAGAGAUGUGUCUGCUUAUAGUGUUGCCAUGCGAGUCGCGGCAUAGCGUGAGCAUGCGUACACAUGUACCUUUUAUCCAUUCGCAUAGCAUGGGAAACCCUGGCAUAGCAUUACUGCGAUGCAUACACAUAUGCAGCAACACACUAAGGGGACACAUCUGUAUAUUACAGUAAGUGACCGGAAAGUGUAGAUAAGUACUCAAGUUGUUAUAUAUAAACCGAACAAGAGUAUUUUUUUUAAAAACAAGUGUUCAAUCCACUGUAAUCCUGCUAUUAGAUUGGAGCCGCAGCAGUUUUAUCAUAUUGGUAUAAUUAGUUGUGUCUUAGCCACAUUAGGCGAAUCACGUGUGGCAGCAGCUGCCAUCCUCUUAAGCCUGAAACUUGCAAGUGCCCACAAGUUAUCCCCCUCCAAACAGGAGCAUUUGAUCCUGUUAGUUCACCAUUGGCGCAGUAGGCCCUAAAUACAAAAUAUGGGUUACUUGUCAGGGCAGUCCGCAAUAAAAUGAAAGCAAGUUGUACAGAAACAAAGCUGCAGCUUGCAUUUACGUCCAACUCUGAAUGAGGUCCUGUAUGUCUCCUUGUGUUGGCGUGGGUUUUCUCCAUGUUCCUCACACUCCACAAAUAUACUGAUGGGAUAAAAUGGCUGUUAACUAAAAUGAGCUUAAUUUGCCUUAGGAAAUUUAGGGGUCUAUGUUUGAAGCCUCAUCUCUGGUAAAAUGAGCUGUGGUAGCUUCCUUAUGCUUUGCACGGGGAAGCUAGCUACCACCAAGGGCAGUAGUACAACCCAAUCUUUUUUAAUUGAAUCAGAACUUGUAGGCUGAAGUCUGGAUUUCCAGUGUAAGCAUUUGUCAGUGACAUGUUAAGUCACUGCCAGCCAGUUAUGCAAAUACUGAAUCUCUCCCCCCCCCCUCUUCUUUUCCCCUUGGGGUACCAUUUAGAGUUGGAUGCACCAAUCUACAGCAAAUUGUUACAAAAGAAAAAAAGUACCUAUGUGCACAUGGAUGGAAUGUGGCCCACUAACAAACAAUACCAGGCAUACAACUGUGUGUGUUUACACCUAACAACAGCAUAGAGAGGUGGUAUGAAAGUAUUAGCAGUAGAUGAUAAAACUGCAGUACCCUAUUUAUACACAAUACACAGUAAUGUAACAAGAUGUUGUAUACACAAGAAAGAAUAUACAAUAUUAUGAAACACAAAUUGACCCCAAAGUCUACAAUAUACCAAAAUAUUGAUUUAUUUUCUGUACAGUAUGGAGAUGCUUAUCAAUAAGGGUAUGGUCCUACAUACAGUAUAUAGUGUUUGAGGGAGUGGGGUGAGGACAGACAAAAAUACCUUUUAUGUUGAACUCUAUCUGCAAUCUUAAUUAAUAGCCACUUGAGGCAAUUUAUUAGCCUUGUCUCAUGAUUAACGUGACCCUGGAAUGAUCGUCUGGAACCGUGCGUUCAUCCCAAAGGUUGGUGAACAGAAUACAUAUAUUUGUUUAUGUUUAUAAUUGAAGUCUUACUGUAUAAAGCAUCUCACUGUUGUCUAUGGUCUCUUCUAUUAUGUUGUAUAAUUAAAUAUUUAUCACUUCUUUUUA